rnacentral:rRNA from 1 species
UACAGAGGUCUCAAGCGUUGUUCGGAUUCAUUGGGCGUAAAGGGUGCGUAGGCGGCGCGGUAAGUCGGGUGUGAAAUCUCGGGGCUUAACUCCGAAACUGCAUUCGAUACUGCCGUGCUUGAGGACUGGAGAGGAGACUGGAAUUUACGGUGUAGCGGUGAAAUGCGUAGAUAUCUGGAGGAACACCGGUGGCGAAGGCGGCAUUCUGGGACCGAUAUUGACGCUGAGGAGCGAAAGCCAGGGGAGCAAACGGGAUUAAGAA